rnacentral:rRNA from 2 species
UUUGAGAGCUUGCUCUCAAAGGUUAGCGGCGGACGGGUGAGUAACACGUGGGCAACCUACCUGUAAGACUGGGAUAACUUCGGGAAACCGGAGCUAAUACCGGAUAACAUAUGAGACCGCAUGGUCUCGUAUUAGAAGAUGGCUUUUAGCUAUCACUUACAGAUGGGCCCGCGGCGCAUUAGCUAGUUGGUGAGGUAACGGCUCACCAAGGCAACGAUGCGUAGCCGACCUGAGAGGGUGAUCGGCCACACUGGGACUGAGACACGGCCCAGACUCCUACGGGAGGCAGCAGUAGGGAAUCUUCCGCAAUGGACGAAAGUCUGACGGAGCAACGCCGCGUGAGCGAAGAAGGUCUUCGGAUCGUAAAGCUCUGUUGUUAGGGAAGAACAAGUAUCGUUCGAAUAGGGCGGUACCUUGACGGUACCUAACCAGAAAGCCACGGCUAACUACGUGCCAGCAGCCGCGGUAAUACGUAGGUGGCAAGCGUUAUCCGGAAUUAUUGGGCGUAAAGCGCGCGCAGGCGGUCUUUUAAGUCUGAUGUGAAAGCCCACGGCUCAACCGUGGAGGGUCAUUGGAAACUGGGGGACUUGAGUGCAGAAGAGGAGAGCGGAAUUCCACGUGUAGCGGUGAAAUGCGUAGAGAUGUGGAGGAACACCAGUGGCGAAGGCGGCUCUCUGGUCUGUAACUGACGCUGAGGCGCGAAAGCGUGGGGAGCGAACAGGAUUAGAUACCCUGGUAGUCCACGCCGUAAACGAUGAGUGCUAAGUGUUAGAGGGUUUCCGCCCUUUAGUGCU